rnacentral:rRNA from 1 species
AUUGAACGCUGGCGGCAUGCUUUACACAUGCAAGUCGAACGGCAGCACGGGCUUCGGCCUGGUGGCGAGUAGCGAACGGGUGAGUAAUAUAUCGGAACGUACCCAGAAGUGGGGGAUAACGUAGCGAAAGUUACGCUAAUACCGCAUACGAUCUAUGGAUGAAAGCAGGGGACCGCAAGGCCUUGUGCUCCUGGAGCGGCCGAUAUCUGAUUAGCUAGUUGGUGAGGUAAAGGCUCACCAAGGCGACGAUCAGUAGCUGGUCUGAGAGGACGACCAGCCACACUGGAACUGAGACACGGUCCAGACUCCUACGGGAGGCAGCAGUGGGGAAUUUUGGACAAUGGGCGCAAGCCUGAUCCAGCAAUGCCGCGUGAGUGAAGAAGGCCUUCGGGUUGUAAAGCUCUUUUGUCAGGGAAGAAACGGUAGAGGCUAAUAUCCUUUGCUAAUGACGGUACCUGAAGAAUAAGCACCGGCUAACUACGUG